rnacentral:lncRNA from 1 species
ACAUUGUGCACAUGUACCCUAAAACUUAAAGUAUAAUAAUAAUUAAAAAAAAAAAAAGAUAACAGGAACCCAGAUUUACGGGGAAAAAACCACACACCAAAUUUCACAAAACUUAGAAAAUGCUACAUAAGGUUCCUCAGGAAGACAACUCUUAGAAUAAGUCAUAAUCCUACUUUUUGCCCAGAGUUUUUUACUAAUUCUACCUGGUAUAAACAGAGUAAGUAGUCAAUAGUCUAUAUAUAAUCUUUUUUUUUUUUUUUUGCUAUUAUCUGGAUAAAAGUUACAAUAUAUGUGUUGGACAUUACAGAGGAUAUAUCUUGCUAUCUGGCAUCCAAUUCAACCUCCUGAUUAUGUAAAAAAAAAAAAAAAAAAAAAAAAAAGCAACCCCAAAUUCUUCAGGUGAACCACCUCAUCUCAAACUCUCAUAGGUUUUUGGGUAAUGUUGACCCCACCCUCAGGUUUAGGGGUGGGCUCUACUGUCCAGUCAUCAGCAUAUCCCAUUGUUCUGGUCAUUGAGAUUAGCUCUAGAAUAAGCACAGGACCCAACCCAGGCUAGUUUGAAUCAGGCCAGGAGUGUCUUAUUGGUGGGAGGAAAUUUCUCUAUAUCUGCUACUCUUAAUGUUGAGACUUAAGGCCUGGAGGUGCUGCAGCCAUCUUAUAACCAUUAAGGGGCAGCCUGUUCUAAGAAGCCAAAAUAAUAGAAAAGAACAGAGACUGGCGAGAAGAAGAGAAGCAGGGACAUGAAGUGACAGUUUGAAACGUUGCAUCCUGACACAUCUGAAGACAUCCCUCAUGUGCAGACUUUUCAGUAAUGUAAAGUGGAAAGUGGGCAAGGCCAAGGUCAUGCUACAGAAUGUGACUGAGCAACAGGGGGAUCACUUCAGCUGGGAUGGGAAAGGAAAGCCUCCAGGAGGAGUUGACAUCGAAUCACAGUUGAAUCCUAAGAAGUCAGUCUUGCAAAGAUCUAGGAAAGAAACAGCUAAGUUUCUAAGGAUACAUUCUUCGUAUUCCAGAAAAUUGGAAGUUAAAACUGUCAUGAGAAUGACCUUAGAACUGUGACUGUAAAACCAGGUAAGAUAUGGAAGACAUGCAAAAUCCAGGUGGGUUUUAUUUUAAAAUAGUUAAACAUUUAAAAUACUUAAAAAUUGUGGCCUGCCAAACAAAAAGAAUAAAAGAACACAGGACAGAAUCAAGUAACAGAUUAAAUAAAAUAAGUCAGCCAAACAUCCUGGGUGUGGGGCUGAAGGCCCAUCACACAGGAGGAUUCAGUGAUGGGGAACUUGAGUCCACAGGUGGCAGGCUUGGAGAACAGCUCACUGGGAAGGCAAGGCCUAGAGUCACUACUGGCAGAGGUAAUACAACUAGGCUCAACUUAUCCCAAUUUCAUGAGAAAAAUCACCCAGACAUCUAUAGCUCUAGAUCCCACAUGUUUUCACAAGAUUCAAUCUCAGUUAUCUGAGAACAUGACCCCAAAUUGGCUUUAAAAGAGUAACCUCUAGCCAGGCGUAGUGGUGGGCACUUGUAAUCCCAGCUACUUGGGAGGCCGAGGCAGGAGAAUCACUUGAACCUGGG